rnacentral:lncRNA from 1 species
GGCUGAGGGGAGAAGGUGAGGGGCCACGGUUCCCUCGCGCUGCCUUCCUCCAGUCUUUGGGGAAGUUUUGACUCCAGUUUAUCUUAAUCAUUUCCUGUUGUGUCUUCCUGAAGAGGAUCAACUGCCAAAGAUAGUUCAGACAGGUAAUUGUGACGACUGGAAGUUAGUCUGUGAGAAACUGAUUUUGUUUAAUGUUUAUAUUCAUUAGCACUAAUACACAUGAGGGUGGGGAGAGACAGAAGUUUCUAGAAAUAUACAGACAAGUAGAUUCUUAGGUGUAAGAAGCUCUUUUAAUUGAGGUUGUGUCCCAUUUAAAAGUAGCAACCAGUGAGGAAGAAAUAGACACACACACAAGGACACACCCCUGCACACCUGCCUGA